UACGUAGGGGGCUAGCGUUGUCCGGAAUCAUUGGGCGUAAAGCGCGUGUAGGCGGUCCGGUAAGUCCGCUGUGAAAGUCGGGGGCUCAACCCUCGGAUGCCGGUGGAUACUGUCGGGCUUGAGUACGGAAGAGGCGAGUGGAAUUCCUGGUGUAGCGGUGAAAUGCGCAGAUAUCGGGAGGAACACCAGCGGCGAAGGCGGCACUCUGGGCUGGAACUGACGCUGAGGAGCGAAAGCGUGGGUAGCAAACAGG
rnacentral:rRNA from 1 species